rnacentral:rRNA from 1 species
UACGUAGGGUGCGAGCGUUAAUCGGAAUUACUGGGCGUAAAGCGUGCGCAGGCGGCGCGUUAAGACAGGUGUGAAAGCCCCGAGCUUAAUUUGGGAAUUGCGCUUGUGACUGGCGAGCUGGAGUGUGGCAGAGGGAGGUGGAAUUCCACGUGUAGCAGUGAAAUGCGUAGAGAUGUGGAGGAACACCGAUGGCGAAGGCAGCCUCCUGGGCCAGCACUGACGCUCAUGCACGAAAGCGUGGGGAGCAAACAGG